GCUGAUUUAGUAUAGUGGUAGUACAGAAGCAUGGUAAGCUUCAGGGGUAAGUUCAAUUCUUACAUUCAGCA
rnacentral:tRNA from 1 species